AUUGAACGCUGGCGGCAGGCCUAACACAUGCAAGUCGAGCGGCAGCGGAAAGUAGCUUGCUACUUUGCCGGCGAGCGGCGGACGGGUGAGUAAUGUCUGGGAAACUGCCUGAUGGAGGGGGAUAACUACUGGAAACGGUAGCUAAUACCGCAUAACGUCGCAAGACCAAAGAGGGGGACCUUCGGGCCUCUUGCCAUCAGAUGUGCCCAGAUGGGAUUAGCUAGUAGGUGGGGUAACGGCUCACCUAGGCGACGAUCCCUAGCUGGUCUGAGAGGAUGACCAGCCACACUGGAACUGAGACACGGUCCAGACUCCUACGGGAGGCAGCAGUGGGGAAUAUUGGACAAUGGGGGGAACCCUGAUCCAGCCAUGCCGCGUGUGUGAAGAAGGCCUUAUGGUUGUAAAGCACUUUAAGCGAGGAGGAGGCUCUUUUGGUUAAUACCCAAGAUGAGUGGACGUUACUCGCAGAAUAAGCACCGGCUAACUCUGUGCCAGCCGCCGCGGUAA
rnacentral:rRNA from 1 species